UUGUAAAUUUGUGAAAUUGGAAAUAUCAAAGUGGAAAAUGAGAAAUGAAAUUUUUUGUAGAAGGAAAGAAUAUGCGGAAGGAACUUCAGUUAUAUUAAAAUUGUGGAACUGAAAUAUGAACAAAGAGUGUAGAAAGUGUGAUAAAAGAAGUCAUUUUGACUGGCACUUAUUAACAUACCCUAUAUAUGAGCCAUAAAAUAAUCAGGUAGUUAUGUUGAAAUAUUCAACCCGAAAUUUCGGUUGGAGAAUAUUCUCAUCAGGAACGGUUCUACGUAAUGACCAAACGAAGUUAAAAAAACUUUCUACCAUGUGGGUAUUCAUUAAGGGACUGGGUAGAAAUAGACCCAAACAGGGACGUAUUAAGAGAAGGGCAACCACCCUUCUCAAUUUCUAAAUUUCAUCAAUACUUAUAUUUACUAUUCAUACAAAUAUAAUUUAUAAAUUGUAAAUUAUUAUAAAUUAUUUAAAAUUUGUUUUUGAUCAGGGUGUCCAAUAUUAUGAGGCAAACAGAGGGGAUGAAAUUCUACCCAGUCACAAAAAUAACAUGAAGUCCACGGCAUACGCCCCUGCGGCAAUGUAACAAAGUACCGCCCUCGAAGAUUCGUAGAAAGGAGAUAAAUAUUCUACCCGGCGCGCACGUGAUCCGGCACAAUGUUGAAUGAAGGAUCAAGAGUGUCAUUGUAUCGAGUCCCAACGGUCGGUUAGGUUUUUCCAGGGAACGUGAUGUAUGUUUUCCUGCGAUACGCGUGUGUUGAACGGCGAUAGAAAGCAACUGGGUAGAGAAGUCGACAAGAAGUCCGUUGGGGACCCUGACACAAUGUAGAACGUAGAUAAAACAUAUCGGAUAUGAAGUAGUAUAAAUAAAUUUGCAAGAAGAGAUUGGAGUAAGAGGUCAGGAAGCAGAAGUGAUUAGUUAAUAUCAAGAAGCGGUGGAGGUUGAGAAGGGAGAAUUUCGGGCAAGCAUAAACGGGGAAACAUGCGUGCAGGUUCGUCGGAUUAACUGAACCGAAAUCAAAUUUGACGGAAUCAGAGUCCGAAACUCGAUACCAUCCUAAUUGAGAAGUAUUCUUGAUGCUUUAGACUCUCUUAUCAUUCUACUAUCGAGUGCUGAAGAUCGCAAAAUCAAUUAAUAAUAGAAACGUCAGGGUAAGAUCUUGAAGAUAAGGAAAGGAGAGGAGUGAAAAAUGUGAGACACUCAAUUAUUGUUUCCUGUGUGUGCUUUUUGAUAAACGAGUCCGAUUCUUAUGGUAAUCGGUUUUGUGAAAAGUAGGCGAAAAAUGUUAAUUGAAUUAAGAAACUGUAACUGCGUAAUAUGUUCAGAACAGCAUUGAUAUUUUGAGAAAUUUAUUUA